UUAUUUUGUUUGAUUAGUUUCUAAGUAUGUGUUUUCUUUUGUCUUAGGGAGCGUAUUAUCACUUUUGUGGAACUAUUUUGUCAUGCGAUAUGAACUACUAAGUUGAAGAUCAAGGUGGAAUUCGCUGAUAUUAUUCUGGUGAUAUAUUAUAUUCGGAAGGAUAUCCUUAUUUAAACCAGAGGUUAUGGCUGAAAUGCCCCAGCUUUUGAAUGGUUAUCACGACAACCACCACCGUUGCCAGCUUUUCAUAAAUCCAAAUCAUGAAAAUCCUCCUCAGACCUUCCGGCUUCGAACUGUAAAGACGCC